rnacentral:rRNA from 1 species
AGCUAGACGAAAAGACCCCAGGAGCUUUACUAUAGCUUGGUAUUGGGUGUAUUUUUUUGAUGCGUAGCAUAGGUGGGAGACUUUGAAACUUUGUUUUCGGAUGAGGUGGAGUCAACAGUGAAAUACCACUCUUUAAAAAUGUACAUUCUAAUUUCGCCGGAAAAAACGGCGAGAGACAGUAUCUGGCAGGUAGUUUUAGUGGGGCGCUAUCCUUGAUCUAAUCAAUUUUUUUGGUUGGAUCAAACUAUGGCGCCUCCAAGGAGUUUAAUCCACUUCAAAAACAAAUAAAUUAGGGGGCAUUUAUUAAGAAUUUCGAAUUUUUAAUUUCGAAUUUCGAUUAAAUUUUUAAAUUAGAAUUUUUUAAUUUUUAAAUUAAUAAUAGAUGGGUAUUCAGCCGUAUGCUGGAAAAUCCGAGUAUCUGAUAGUACUUUUGUAAUUAAAAGUAAAAAUCUAAUCAGUGCGGAUAAUCAGCAGGAAAGAUUAGGAGUUGAAAUUCAAUUUCUAAAAUCCUCAGAGACUAAACGCUGAAUCUGCCAAAGGCAGAAAAUUAUAGUCCGAACUCUGUGGCGACACAGAGAGCAAAACAGAAAUGUUUUUGCCACACAAAUUUGUGUAGUAACAAAAUGCCUAAAAAGUAACGGAGGAGCCUAUUAAGGUCAGCUAAGCGCGAAUGGAAACCGUGCUGAUAGUGUAAUGGCACAAGCUGGCUUGAUUGCGAGGCGUACAUGCCGAGCAGGUGCGAAAGCAGAGCAUAGUGAACCGACACCACGCUUUAGAUGCGGGUGAAGAUUAACGGAUAAAAGCUACCCUGGGGAUAACAGGCUAGUUCCGCCUAAGCGUUCAGAGCGACGGCGGAGUUCGGCACCUCGAUGUCGGCUCAACUUAUCCUGGGGCUGGAGAAGGUCCCAAGGGUUUGGCUGUUCGCCAAUUAAAAAGUUACGCGAGCUGGGUUCAGACCGUCGUGAGACAGGUUGGUCUCCUAUCUGCUGCAGGCGUUGAUUCUUGAGAAGAUUUGCUCCUAGUACGAGAGGACCGGAGUGAACGAACCUCUGGUGUGCCAGCUGUUCCGCCAGGAGCACUGCUGGGUAGCUAUGUUCGGAAUGGAUAACCUCUGAAAGCAUCUAAGAGGGAAGCCAACUUCAAGAUUAGGAAUCGUUUGAGAUCCCUGAGAGAUGAUCAGGUGAUAGGCUCUAGGUGUAAGCACAGUAAUGUGUUCAGCCGAGGAGUACUAAUGCAUCAAG